AGAGUUUGAUCCUGGCUCAGGACGAACGCUGGCGGCGUGCCUAAUACAUGCAAGUCGAACGAAGCUUUCUUUCACCGAAUGCUUGCAUUCACCGAAAGAAGCUUAGUGGCGAACGGGUGAGUAACACGUAGGCAACCUGCCCAAAAGAGGGGGAUAACACUUGGAAACAGGUGCUAAUACCGCAUAACCAUGAACACCGCAUGAUGUUCAUGUAAAAGACGGCUUUUGCUGUCACUUUUGGAUGGGCCUGCGGCGUAUUAACUUGUUGGUGGGGUAACGGCCUACCAAGGUGAUGAUACGUAGCCGAACUGAGAGGUUGAUCGGCCACAUUGGGACUGAGACACGGCCCAAACUCCUACGGGAGGCAGCAGUAGGGAAUCUUCCACAAUGGACGAAAGUCUGAUGGAGCAACGCCGCGUGAAUGAAGAAGGCCUUCGGGUCGUAAAAUUCUGUUGUCAGAGAAGAACGUGCGUGAGAGUAACUGUUCACGUAUUGACGGUAUCUGACCAGAAAGCCACGGCUAACUACGUGCCAGCAGCCGCGGUAAUACGUAGGUGGCAAGCGUUGUCCGGAUUUAUUGGGCGUAAAGGGAACGCAGGCGGUCUUUUAAGUCUGAUGUGAAAGCCUUCGGCUUAACCGAAGUAGUGCAUUGGAAACUGGAAGACUUGAGUGCAGAAGAGGAGAGUGGAACUCCAUGUGUAGCGGUGAAAUGCGUAGAUAUAUGGAAGAACACCAGUGGCGAAAGCGGCUCUCUGGUCUGUAACUGACGCUGAGGUUCGAAAGCGUGGGUAGCAAACAGGAUUAGAUACCCUGGUAGUCCACGCCGUAAACGAUGAGUGCUAAGUGUUGGAGGGUUUCCGCCCUUCA
rnacentral:rRNA from 1 species